UACGUAGGGUGUGAGCGUUGUCCGGAAUUACUGGGCGUAAAGAGCUCGUAGGUGGUUUGUCGCGUUGUUCGUGAAAACUCACAGCUUAACUGUGGGCGUGCGGGCGAUACGGGCAGACUGGAGUACUGCAGGGGAGACUGGAAUUCCUGGUGUAGCGGUGGAAUGCGCAGAUAUCAGGAGGAACACCGGUGGCGAAGGCGGGUCUCUGGGCAGUAACUGACGCUGAGGAGCGAAAGCGUGGGUAGCAAACAGG
rnacentral:rRNA from 1 species